GACGAACGCUGGCGGCGUGCUUAACACAUGCAAGUCGAAGGGCGUGGCGAACGGGGGAGUAACACGUGAGUAACCUGCCCUUUUAUUUGGGAAAACCCUGGGAAACUGGGUCAAAUACUGGAUAGAAUGGGCUGGGAUCGAGGUUGAUAUGCGUGUUGGUGGGGUGAUGGCUUACCUAGGCUUUGACGGGUAGCUGGCAUGAGAGGGUGGUCGGUCACACUGGGACUGAGAUACGGCCCAGACUCCUACGGUAGGCAGCAGUGGGGGAUAUUGCACAAUGGACGAAAGCCUGAUGCAGCCAUGCCGCGUGUAUGAAGAAGGCCUUCGGGUUGUAAAGUACUUUCAGCGGGGAGGCGUUACCCGCAGAAGAAGCACCGGCUAACUCCGUGCCAGCAGCCGCGGUAAUAC
rnacentral:rRNA from 1 species